CCCGCACAAGCGGUGGAGCAUGUGGUUUAAUUCGAUGCAACGCGAAGAACCUUACCUGGUCUUGACAUCCACGGAAGUUUUCAGAGAUGAGAAUGUGCCUUCGGGAACCGUGAGACAGGUGCUGCAUGGCUGUCGUCAGCUCGUGUUGUGAAAUGUUGGGUUAAGUCCCGCAACGAGCGCAACCCUUAUCAUUAGUUGCUACGCAAGGGCACUCUAAUGAGACUGCCGGUGACAAACCGGAGGAAGGUGGGGAUGACGUCAAGUCCUCAUGGCCCUUAUGGGUAGGGCUUCACACGUCAUACAAUGGUCGGUACAGAGGGUUGCCAAGCCGCGAGGCGGAGCCAAUCCCACAAAGCCGAUCGUAGUCCGGAUUGUUCUCCGCAACUCGAGAGCAUGAAGUCGGAAUCGCUAGUAAUCGCAGGUCAGCAUACUGCGGUGAAUACGUUCCCGGGUCUU
rnacentral:rRNA from 1 species